UGAGACUUUGAACGGAGGAGGUAUGAGAGACACAGAGGGAUCGUUAGGGAGACCCCAGAAAGUAGCGUGGAAUUUUGCCAGCCACUUCAACACUAUCCGCGUCCGCUCCAAUCCUAGCCCGCUCCCAGGUGAGACAGGAAACUCCACGUUCAAAUCCUCCAGAAGCAAGCUGUCGUUGCUGGCUCUCUCUGCCACGGGGUAAUGUUUUGCAACUCGCGCAGAGUUAGGGGGAGACAAGGCAGAGGAAAGCUUGGAGUAGAAGUAUCGUUCAACACGGUAGGACACGAGUUUUCGAAGAUGGGACUCAUCUGCAGCUGAAACAGCGGGAGGAUUUACCGUUUUUAGUAUAAGUGACACUCGCGGGGAUGUGGAAGAAGCCUCCAAUCGAACGCUCAAAC
rnacentral:lncRNA from 1 species